CAAAAACACAAGCCAAAAUCCCUCAUUCUCUCUCCUCUAUCUCGUCCAAACACUCCCCAAAUGGAAGAGUUCAUCUUCAACUUCAAAGCCUUCAAGAUUCUUUAUAAAAGUCCCUAUUGUUCUCUUCUAAAAUCCUCUCACAAUGCCUCUCUCUCCCUAAAUUCGAGAUUCCCCAAAUACACUCAAAGAAACAACCAUAUAAUCUCUCAAAACUCAGCUCCAAAGCAAUCUAAUACCACCCAUGUCAAGCCCAAAGACUUCCAAGCCAAAACUCCAUGGAUCUUUGGUUUCUUCUUCUUCUUAGCCUUUGAUUUUCAUGGGUAAGGACCUCUUGGUCUUUACUGAAAUAAUAAACUAAUUAAGAUGAAUUAUAUGUGUUUUAAUGAAUUAUAUGUUUGUGGUUUUAAUUUUGGG
rnacentral:lncRNA from 1 species